rnacentral:rRNA from 1 species
GAUGAACGCUGGCGGCGUGCCUAAUACAUGCAAGUCGAGCGAACAGACGAGGAGCUUGCCCCUCUGACGUUAGCGGCGGACGGGUGAGUAACACGUGGAUAACCUACCUAUAAGACUGGGAUAACUUCGGGAAACCGGAGCUAAUACCGGAUAAUAUAUUGAACCGCAUGGUUCAAUAGUGAAAGACGGUUUUGCUGUCACUUAUAGAUGGAUCCGCGCCGCAUUAGCUAGUUGGUAAGGUAACGGCUUACCAAGGCGACGAUGCGUAGCCGACCUGAGAGGGUGAUCGGCCACACUGGAACUGAGGCACGGUCCAGACUCCUACGGGAGGCAGCAGUAGGGAAUCUUCCGCAAUGGGCGAAAGCCUGACGGAGCAACGCCGCGUGAGUGAUGAAGGUCUUCGGAUCGUAAAACUCUGUUAUUAGGGAAGAACAAAUGUGUAAGUAACUAUGCACGUCUUGACGGUACCUAAUCAGAAAGCCACGGCUAACUACGUG